rnacentral:rRNA from 1 species
AACGCGUAUAGAACCUACCUUUUACUGAGGGAUAGCCUUUAGAAAUGAAGAUUAAUACCUCAUGGUAUUGCAAUUUGGCAUCAGAUUGUAAUUAAAGAUUUAUUGGUAAAAGAUGGCUAUGCGUCUUAUUAGCUAGAUGGUAAGGUAACGGCUUACCAUGGCAACGAUAAGUAGGGGCCCUGAGAGGGGGAUCCCCCACACUGGUACUGAGACACGGACCAGACUCCUACGGGAGGCAGCAGUGAGGAAUAUUGGGCAAUGGAGGCAACUCUGACCCAGCCAUGCCGCGUGCAGGAAGACUGCCCUAUGGGUUGUAAACUGCUUUUAUACAGGAAGAAACACACCUACGUGUAGGUGCUUGACGGUACUGUAAGAAUAAGCACCGGCUAACUCCGUGCCAGCAGCCGCGGUAAUACGGAGGGUGCAAGCGUUAUCCGGAAUCAUUGGGUUUAAAGGGUCCGCAGGCGGUCAAUUAAGUCAGAGGUGAAAUCCCAUAGCUUAACUAUGGAACUGCCUUUGAUACUGGUUGACUUGAGUUAUACGGAAGUAGAUAGAAUAAGUAGUGUAGCGGUGAAAUGCAUAGAUAUUACUUAGAACACCGAUU